CCUACGGGUGGCAGCAGUGAGGAAUAUUGGUCAAUGGGCGCGAGCCUGAACCAGCCAAGUAGCGUGAAGGAUGACUGCCCUACGGGUUGUAAACUGCUUUUAUAAAGGGAUAAAGUGAGGCACGUGUGCCUUUUUGUAUGUACUUUAUGAAUAAGGAUCGGCUAACUCCGUGCCAGCAGCCGCGGUAAUACGGAGGGUCCGAGCGUUAUCCGGAUUUAUUGGGUUUAAAGGGAGCGUAGGUGGGUUGUUAAGUCAGUUGUGAAAGUUUGCGGCUCAACCGUAAAAUUGCAAUUGAUACUGGGAGUCUUGAGUACAGUUGAGGUAGGCGGAAUUCGUGGUGUAGCGGUGAAAUGCUUAGAUAUCACGAAGAACUCCGAUUGCGAAGGCAGCUUACUAAACUGCAACUGACACUGAUGCUCGAAAGUGCGGGUAUCAAACAGGAUUAGAUACCCUAGUAGUC
rnacentral:rRNA from 1 species